UGUUUGUUUCUUGUUUGAGAUGCCUGCAACAAGCUCCGGUAUGAUCAAAGCACAGACGUGAUUCCUGAACCUUUUCAAGCAGCGUAGCUUGGAGAGGACUUGUGCGGACACUCUUGAGCUCAGGGAUGGCAUACAGAAAUGUGUUUUAACAGAGACAGGGAGAAGGAAAAACAACAGAAUUCGAUUUUCCUACUUUGCAGUCAGCCCGGAGCUCCAGUAAGCCUAACUCCCAUUCAAAACAGUACCAAGCGCUGUCAGUGUUGGUGCCUUUUAUUGAAUUUUCAGCCCGGGUGUUACUCUAUAUUUGUGUGCAUGCCGAGUGCCUCCUCCUCCUCCUCCUUCUUCUUCUGAACGCGAAUGAUGGAGUGCAAGUUCUUGCCUAGUUCCUUGGAGAUGGCGAGGAUGGUUAUGUGAGGCGUGAAAGAAGCGGGUGGCAAAAAAACGACCAAGGCAGGCUGGCGCUCGGUGUUGACCUAAGAAGGACUGACAUUCAGAGGCCGGUCCCCUGCCUGCAGCACUGACAUUUCUGCCAGACUUUGAUGGCGCCUUUGAACAGAGAUGUGUGGAGGGAAGAGCUGCCUGUCUCUCUGACUUCCAGCAGCUCCAGCUCUGCCUCUCCACGACUGAGAGUGAGAUGUACUGCAGCGGGAGCCAGAAACAAGGAAGAAGGAGAGGAGAGAGCCCGUGGCAUGGAGAAAGGAAGAAGCACCAAAGCAGAUGCCCCUACAACUCCUAACUGGCCUCCUCGUCACCUUCCUCAUACCAGAUGUUCAACUUGUCAUCUUCCAUUUUUAUGUGGGAUGCUGGCCCACAGUCUAAGGGCAAUAUCGCCCUCUCCCAUUUGUUUGGUGGGUUUUGUGCUACCAAAAUAUUAAUGUCUGUAACCUGAUGAGCCACAAUCUCACAUAUCUGAAAACGGAGACAAAAAUCAAACAACGUUUGAUUAUCACACAGCUUCUAAUGUACUGUACCUGGUGGAUUGAGUUGUACAUUAUGCAGUAAAUGUAUUCAGAGGGACCUCAAAUAGGAUUUACAUCCUGUGUUUGUGUUUUAGAGUGAAACUUUUGGAUUUUAGAGUUAAACUUAAAUCUAUUAAAUGAAAACAGUGGGUUGGAAGCAUAUUUUUCUUUGUUUCUUUGUCGGUCUUGAAUUAAUCAAAACAUUUAUUUUCUUGUUGUGGG